GGGGAUUUAGCUCAGUGGCAUAGCGUCUGCCUUGCAAGCAGGCAGUCGUCUGAGUUCGAUCCCUG
rnacentral:tRNA from 1 species